AAGACUAUACUUCACAGGAUCAUUUCUGUAGUCAGUCUUCACAUACUUUCACUCUAGCUGAAAGCCAAGUGCACCCGCGUUGAUGAGUUGAAUCGUCCUAUUCGGCAGCGUGAGGAUUUGCCCAGUGCCCUUUGUGGUGCGGCGCUCCGGCGUUCGUAUCCUUCGGGGCGCAGGGCUUCGAUGAUCGCUCGGUUCGUAACGGAUAGGGCGAAUUCUGAGUGGU